AGGAGGCACGCGUCGGACCGG
rnacentral:miRNA from 1 species